rnacentral:rRNA from 1 species
GACGAACGCUGGCGGCGUGCUUAACACAUGCAAGUCGAACGGAAAGGCCCUGCUUGCAGGGUACUCGAGUGGCGAACGGGUGAGUAACACGUGGGUGAUCUGCCCUGCACUUCGGGAUAAGCUUGGGAAACUGGGUCUAAUACCGGAUAGGAGCCAUCUUUAGUGUGGUGGUUGGAAAGUUUUUUCGGUGUAGGAUGAGCUCGCGGCCUAUCAGCUUGUUGGUGGGGUAAUGGCCUACCAAGGCGGCGACGGGUAGCCGGCCUGAGAGGGUGUACGGCCACAUUGGGACUGAGAUACGGCCCAGACUCCUACGGGAGGCAGCAGUGGGGAAUAUUGCACAAUGGGCGCAAGCCUGAUGCGGCGACGCCGCGUGGGGGAUGAAGGCCUUCGGGUUGUAAACUCCUUUCGCUAGGGACGAAGCUUUUUUGUGACGGUACCUAGAUAAGAAGCACCGGCUAACUACGUG